rnacentral:lncRNA from 1 species
UCUGAAAAACAUAUUGGAUGAAGAAAUGAAGUCCAAAUUAAAAUGAGGAAGUCCAGUCAGAUGACGAACUUGAACACAAAGAGCAAGCCAUUGAGCACUAGUUGGCCACAGAUGUGGAUUUAAGUUUUCUAGCUGCCAAAAUGUAAAGAGGGAAACACGAUCCUCUGCAGGACUCAACAGUAUCCCUGAGAUCGAAUCUGACAAACUGCUCAGAAGGGGCACCUAUGCUUUUCCCUGAGAUGAAUGUCUCCCAUCGUCAGAUGUCAGAUUCUGGAUCUAUUUUGACAAGAGAGCUCAAAGGAUUUCUUCACAGAUGGAAAUGAGGGGGCUGUGAACCCCUGAUAUCUGAGAGGUGUCUCAGUCAAUUUAGAAAGUUUAUUUUGCCAACGUUAAGGACCCGCCCAUGACAGCCUCAGGAGGUCCUGACGACACGUGCCCAAGGUGGUCAGGGCACAGCCUGCUUCCAUACAUUUUAGUGAGACAUGAAACAUCAAUCAUUUUAUGUGCUAGACCUCCAGAGAGAGAAAAUGAGACACAUAAGGUGGAAAUUACUCUGUGGUGACACACUGUGGAGUCCUGCCCACAACCCGGAUACUUGGACCCACUCCACUGAAACCUUAGGCCACAGCUAAGUUCCUUCCUUCAAAAAAUAAAUCUAAGAAAGAGGAAAAACAGGAAUGACCUCCUUUCAGGCACUCUGUUGGUUUUAUGGCGCCUCUUCUUGCGAAUGUUUGUGUAAAAUUGACAUACUGUGGUCCUUUUCUGCACAAUUACGGCAAGGAAAAUUCAGAUCGCAAAGGUCCACCUUUCAUCUGCAUCUCAUUACCGGGUAGCAGGAAUAAGUAGGCUGACCCUCAGUUUGGACCGGGAACAGCUGUAUUGGCACAGAGAUUUCAGAAAAGAAAAAGCGGGAGUUAGUAGGCCACCCUAAAAGCUGUGCCUCUACAGCGGAAAGAAACUUUGUUUUGACUCUGAGGAACGGCGCUUUUUUUCUAAACGCGAAGGGCGGGCGGACGUUACUGGGAGGAAUGAGGGCGAGGAAGAGAAAGACGUUAGUCCUCGGACCGUUUCCGAGAGUCAUCUCCGGGAGUAAUGCGAAGAUGGACACGCUCAGUCCUGCCUGUGCAUGCGCGUUCGCGUUGUACGGAAUUCCCAAGCCAGCUGCGUAGUUUCUGCCUUGAAGCUAUUUGGCGAGAAGUUUCGCCUGUUCCUUUACUUUGUGGGUCAGGGCUUGGGUGCUUGAGUGGGAGAAACAGAAAGCCAGCUAGCCCUGGAACCCCUUCUAAGAUCGUCAUCCACCCAGCCAUCCAUAAAUCUGUUCAUCCAUGAAACAAAUAAUCAUUGAGCACCCCUUAUAUGCCAGACACACGUAAGGAUGCAAGGGCCGCGUUCUCAUUCUAGUGGGUGGGGACAGAGAGUAAACAAAUUAUCUACUUAAUUUCAGAUAGUGGUAAGUGAUAGAAAAUAAAACGGGGUGAUAUUGUCAGAGGCGUUUGAACCAGAGCGACUCCAUUCCGAGUGAGGGCUAGGA